UGGCCUUUUUGAAUCAGCCCAGUAACGUCUUUUAUGUAUAGGUAGAAAGACGGAGAGGGCGUGAUUUCUAGAACAGAUCUAACCCUAAACUCACAGAGGCGACCGUCUCAACAAAUAGCUUCCAAUCGUAAGCGUCUCAAAUUUUCUCGAUGAGCCCUACCGGAAAUUCACACCGGGGUUCGAAGAUCUCGGCAGUAAAAUUCUGGUAAGAUAUUUUUUUACUCGAAUUGUUUUGUAGUUUUAAUUAGGUUUCAUCUGAUCGAUCUGUCACAUUCGAAUUCGUAUGUAAAGGUUGUUUAGAUACAGACUAGAUCGCAUCUGAUCAAUAAUGCGGUAUUAAAAUUAAUAGAUCCAAUUCGUUGUAUAUUUUUCACUGUCUGAUUUUUCGUAAAUUUUCAUUUUUUUUGUGGAACGUGGCAGUGACAUCCAUACAUGUCAUCGUGGACUUUGAUGAUAUGCCAAUCCAUGAACCAAAGGAAAUCAAAGAGAAAGUUAGAUUCCAUUUACGGCACGAAGGUUAUCAUGGGAUGGUGUCAACCAGUGCUUUCUAUAGUGAUAAGAAUCAAUUCUCUGAUGAACGGCUUCAAGAGUAUUGCAACUAUGGAAUUAUCCCCAUUUUACUUAGAGGGGAUAGAGGUUCCAGAAUCCGCAUGAUGCUAAUAGACAUCAUUUUCUGGGCACAGACCUGUAGUGAUGAAAGUAAUGAACCACUCUAUGUCCUUGUAAUCUCUAAAGACGAAAACUUAGAAAAAGACGCCAAGUUCUCCACUGUUCGUCAAUUUUUGAUAGAACACAUGGAUUUCCAUCUUACCGUUGCUCAGCCUGAUACCAUCCUAGGCUUUUGAAUCCGUCGUAGCUGUUCUGAGGUGUCUCAACUUCGGUGUUUUGCUUUUAUGAGCCCUCUGUAAUAUUCAGACAACACCGUUCAUUCUAAGAUGCUUUCCCGAGUGUUUAAACAUAAUCCAUAACUAUGUUUUAUAAGCGCCUGCUACAUUUCUUGUUCACUUUUCUUCUAUUUCCAAUGUAAUUUCUCCUUUUAUUUUA